rnacentral:lncRNA from 1 species
GUUUUCACAUGAGUCCGUUUUCACAUGAGUCCGUUUUCACAUGAGUCCGUUUUCACAUGAGUCCGUUUUCACAUGAGUCCGUUUUCACAUCAGUCCGUUUUCACAUGAGUCCGUUUUCACAUCAGUCCGUUUUCACAUGAGUCCGUUUUCACACGAGUCCGUUUUCACACGAGUCCGUUUUCACACGAGUCCGUUUUCACACGAGUCCGUUUUCACACGAGUCCGUUUUCACACGAGUCCGUUUACACACGAGUCCGUUUACACACGAGUCCGUUUUCACAUCAGUCCGUUUUCACAUCAGUCCGUUUUCACAUCAGUCCGUUUUCACAUCAGUCCGUUUUCACAUCAGUCCGUUUUCACAUCAGUCCG